GGGUAUAGGGGCGAAAGACUAAUCGAACCAUCUAGUAGCUGGUUCCGCCUGAAGUUUCCCUCAGGAUAGCUGAUUAUAAGAAGAGUUUAAUCCGGUAAAGCGAAUGAUUAGAAGAAUUGGGAGCGCAAAGCUUUUGACUUAUUCUCAAACUUUAAAUGGGUUAGAAAUACUUGACGCUUAUUUGGACAAGUAUCUGUGAAUCAUAUGAUCUAGUGGGCCAAUUUUGGUAAGCAGAACUGGCGCUGUGGGAUGAACCAAAAGUUGAUUUAAAGUAUCAAACUCUUAGCAAAUCAGAUUCCACGAAAGGUGUAAAUUGCUCAAGACAGCAGGACGGUGGCCAUGGAAGUCGGAAACCGCUAAGGAAUGUGUAACAACCCACCUGCCGAAGCAAUUGGCCCUGAAAAUGGAUGACGCUGUAGCUAAGGGAAACUUAUAGUUAACUGAAGAUAUUUCAAUCUUCAAGUAAGGCGGUUGACAAAUGUGCGCUAAAAAAAUAGAUAAAUCUAUUUCAAAGCAAAUUUGUGUACAGAUCUUGGUGGUAGUAGCAAAUAUUCCAAGGAGACCUUGGAAGGCCGAAGUGGAGAAGGGUUUCGUGUGAACAGUUGUUGGACACGAGUGAGGCGGUCCUAAAGUUUAUCGGAAGCGAGAAAUAAUAUGGGUUAGACCAUGUUUAACUGAAAGGGAAAUAGGUUCAUAUUCCUAUGCAUAUACAGUUGAUAUUCUAUACUUGUAUAGACCUGGUAACAGGCUUGUUUAUUCAGACCGUUAUUCUCAAGUUAGGAAGAGUUUUCUUUUCUAUAUAAAUAAGUCAAACCUUUGAAAAGUCUAGAGCUGAGAGAAGGUUCAAACUUAUUAAGAGCAGUUCAGUUCUUGUGCUGUCUAAGCGAGAGAAUAGUGCCAUGAAAAUGAAUAAUCAGACAAGUUCAACCAUAUGCCGUACCCAUAUCCGCAGCAGGUCUCCAAGGUGAAAAGCCUCUGGCUAAUAGAAUAAUGUAGGUAAGGGAAG
rnacentral:rRNA from 1 species